rnacentral:rRNA from 1 species
UCUCAAAGAUUAAGCCAUGCAUGUGUAAGUACAUGCCUYACUAAGGCGAAACCGCGAAUGGCUCAUUAAAUCAGUUACGGUUCAUUGGAUGUUGACUAUYUACAUGGAUAACUGUGGUAAUUCUAGAGCUAAUACAUGCACCAAAGCUUCGACCCUGCAAGGGGAAGAGGCGCAUUUAUUAGACCAAGACCAACGGCGUCCGUUUCGGCGGGCGCCUAGCCGUGGUGACUCUGGAUAACUGUGCUGACCGCACGGCCUGCGAGCCGGCGGCGAAUCUUUCAAGUGUCUGCCUUAUCAACUGUCGAUGGUAGGUUAUGCGCCUACCAUGGUUGUAACGGGUAACGGGGAAUCAGGGUUCGAUUCCGGAGAGGGAGCCUGAGAAACGGCUACCACAUCCAAGGAAGGCAGCAGGCGCGCAAAUUACCCACUCCCGGCACGGGGAGGUAGUGACGAAAAAUAACAAUACGGGACUCAAUUGAGGCCCCGUAAUUGGAAUGAGUACAAUCUAAAUCCUUUAACGAGGAUCUAUUGGAGGGCAAGUCUGGUGCCAGCAGCCGCGGUAAUUCCAGCUCCAAUAGCGUAUAUUAAAGUUGUUGCGGUUAAAAAGCUCGUAGUUGGAUCUCAGUCCGCGCCAGGCGGUCCGCUUGCCGGCGGUUACUGGCUGGCUGGACAGUGUGAUCGAGUCGUCUGGCGGUGCCCUUCGCCGGGUGUCGCCAGCGCUCGGUACGUUUACUUUGAAAAAAUUAGAGUGCUCAAAGCAGGCGCUACAGCCCGAAUACUGUUGCAUGGAAUAAUGGAAUAGGACCUCGAGUUCUAUUUUGUUGGUCUUCGGAACUGGAGGUAAUGAUUAAGAGAGGCAGACGGGGGCAUUCGUAUUGCGGCGCUAGAGGUGAAAUUCUUGGACCGUCGCAAGACGAACURAGGCGAAAGCAUUUGCCAAGAAUGCGCUCAUUAAUCAAGAACGAAAGUUAGAGGCUCGAAGGCGAUCAGAUACCGCCCUAGUUCUAACCAUAAACGAUGCCAACCAGCAAUCCGCCYGAGUUCCCUGAGACGACUCGGCGGGCGGCUUCCGGGAAACCAAAGUUUUUCGGUUCCGGGGGAAGUAUGGUUGCAAAGCUGAAACUUAAAGGAAUUGACGGAAGGGCACCACCAGGAGUGGAGCCUGCGGCUUAAUUUGACUCAACACGGGGAAACUCACCCGGCCCGGACACUGGGAGGAUUGACAGAUUGAGAGCUCUUUCUUGAUUCAGUGGGUGGUGGUGCAUGGCCGUUCUUAGUUGGUGGAGCGAUUUGUCUGGUUAAUUCCGAUAACGAACGAGACUCUAGCCUACUAAAUAGACGGCGCGCUCCAAGCGCGCGCCGUGCUUCUUAGAGGGACAGGCGGCGGUUCAGCCGCACGAAACAGAGCAAUAACAGGUCUGUGAUGCCCUUAGAUGUCCGGGGCCGCACGCGCGCUACACUGAAGUGAUCAGCGUGUCAGUACGCCUGCUCCGAGAGGAGUGGGAAACCCGAUCAACCCUCUACGUGAUUGGGAUAGGGCAUUGUAAUUAUUGCCCUUGAACGAGGAAUUCCCAGUAAGCGCGAGUCACUAGCUCGCGUUGAUUACGUCCCUGCCCUUUGUACACACCGCCCGUCGCUACUACCGAUUGAACGAUUUAGUGAGGUCUUCGGACUGACUGGCGUUGCCGCCCUUGUGACGGCGACGCUGCGUCGGAAAGAUGCCCAAACUUGAUCGUUUAGAGGAAGUAAAAGUCGUAA